AGCAGGAGAGACCCCCUUUGACAUUCUCUUGUUCUGAUUUUUCAGGCCUUUCCAUCUCAGUGGGUCUCCCUCACAUUGCUUCGGAUUUAGCUUUUUGCCGAAUCUAAAGUACAUCUGAAGAUAUCCUUUCUCAGGAAGAAGCAAAAGGCAAACAGUAGUUGAACACUUGGACUGCAAACAUAGAAUUGCUUCAUUUUACUCCUUGUGGGCUUUGGAUGAAACCCACAUACCCAAAGAUGUCUCCUUGCUGCAGAGGUGGCUAACAGUCAUAACAAACUCAUGGCAAACUGGGUAAGCUUCUUUGGUGAAAUGUAUUUAGUCACAGAGUACAUCUGAAAGGUAACACAACUGCUUUCAUCUUCCCAACCUUUGAACUUGGAGCAUGGAGUGGUCAAGAUUUGCUUUAAAAGUGUGUGCACAAAUAUACAUAAUUGCAUUUUAAUAGCAUAAAGCAAAUUUUUGAUUCUGCUGCACCCUUACUCACCUUGAGUAGGUUUUCACUCCAUCAAGUCUUGCUCAUUUUGAUAGAGCUUUUUGU
rnacentral:lncRNA from 1 species